GAUUAACGCGGGCGGCAUGCCUUACACAUGCAAGUCGAACGGUAACAGGUCUUCGGAUGCUGACGAGUGGCGAACGGGUGAGUAAUACAUCGGAACGUGCCUAGUAGUGGGGGAUAACUACUCGAAAGAGUGGCUAAUACCGCAUGAGAUCUACGGAUGAAAGCAGGGGAUCGCAAGACCUUGUGCUACUAGAGCGGCCGAUGGCAGAUUAGGUAGUUGGUGGGAUAAAAGCUUACCAAGCCGACGAUCUGUAGCUGGUCUGAGAGGACGAUCGGCCACACUGGGACUGAGACACGGGCCAGACUACUACGGGAGGCAGCAGUGGGGAAUUUUGGACAAUGGGCGAAAGGCUGAUCCAGCAACGCCGCGUGCAGGAUGAAGGGCUUCGGGUUGUAAACUGCUUUGGUACGGAACGAAAAGCCCCGGGUUAAUACCCUGGGGUCAUGACGGUACCGUAAGAAUAAGCACCGGCUAACUACGUGCCAGCCGCCGCCGUAA
rnacentral:rRNA from 1 species